GAUGAAGAACGCAGCGAAAUGCGAUAAGUAAUGUGAAUUGCAGAAUUCAGUGAAUCAUCGAAUCUUUGAACGCACAUUGCGCCCGCCAGUAUUCUGGCGGGCAUGCCUGUUCGAGCGUCAUUACAACCCUCAGGCCCCCGGGCCUGGCGUUGGGGAUCGGCGGAAGCCCCCUGCGGGCACAACGCCGUCCCCCAAAUACAGUGGCGGUCCCGCCGCAGCUUCCAUUGCGUAGUAGCUAACACCUCGCAACUGGAGAGCGGCGCGGCCACGCCGUAAAACACCCAACUUCUGAAUGUUGACCUCGAAUCAGGUAGGAAUACCCGCUGAACUUAAGCAUAUCAAUAGA
rnacentral:misc_RNA from 1 species